AGAAUAGAAGGAAGUGGCCAGAGAAAGAAGAAGAGACUGGGACAUGGACCCGCACAGAGGAAAGACUGUGUGAAAGCAUGGCAUGGAGACAACUGUCUACAAGCCAAGGAGAGAGGCAGCAGAAGAAACAAACCCUGCUCACACCUUGAUCUCAGACUUCUGGCCUCCAGAUCUGUGACGAUGGAAAUGUCUGUUGUUUAAGCCAGCCAGGCUGUGGGACUUGGUCAGAGCAGCUCUAGCAAGCUCAGACACCAAGCAUGAUGCCAGGCUGCGUGUGCAAAUCUGGCCAAUGAGGUACAAAGGCAGUACUAAUGAGGUUUUCCUCUCUCUUAUAAAGAAGCAGGUUGGAUGUGGUGACUCAUGCCUGUAAUCCCUAUGCUUUGGGAGGCCGAGGCAGGAGGACUUCUUGAACUCAGGAGUUUGAGGCCAGCCUGAGUAACAUAGGAAGACCCUGUUUCUACUAAAAAUUAAAAAAAUCAGUCCAGCAUGGUGGCGCAUGCCUGUAGUCCCAGCUACUUGGGAGGCUAGGAAGUGGGAGAAGCAUUUGAGCCUAGGAGACUGAGGCUGCAGUGAGCUAUGAUGGCACCACUGCACCCCAGCCUGAGUGACAAAGUGAGACCCAGUCUGAAAGAAAAAAAACAAAGGGAAGAGUCCCACUCUUUGAAGGCCUAUGAACAUUGUUGUUUGAGUAUGCUCUGCCUGGAGCUGCUGCAGCCAUUUUGCCACCAUGAGGCAAGCAAACAUGGAUACACAGAAAGAUGAAAGGUACCUGGGUCCUCGAUGCCUCUGCUGAACUGUGAAUUACCCACCCUAGUUCUGGACUUUUAUUUAUAUGAGAAAAUGGAAAUUCGUUGCUUUUUAGGCCACUUUGAGUUGGGCUUUUUGUUACCUGCCUCUACACCAGUGUGGCACCCCAGUGACAAAGGCAGUCCCUAGUCAUACCCCAAGGCCCUGAGAAGUGGAGUGACCUGUCUCACAUUAUACAGCAUAUGAAUGGGGUUCUGAGACUCAGGC
rnacentral:lncRNA from 1 species